UGGACCCGGCGCCUUGCCCCCGGAUCUGCAUCGGAAUGCAGAAAAGAUCUUUUUUUAAAAAAAAAAAAAAAAAAAGUUUUGAAUUCCUCAAUGAUUUUUCUUCUGGAAAGGCAGCUUAGGAUAAUUAUUUCAGCUUUAUUGAGGGCAGAUUAGUUGAAGUCUGGGCGCUGCGUUUCAAUACGCGUUGUACACGGGCCGACAAUGUGG
ensembl:misc_RNA